UGAUCCUGGCUCAGGACGAACGCUGGCGGCGUGCCUAAUACAUGCAAGUAGAACGCUGAAGGAGGAGCUUGCUUCUCUGGAUGAGUUGCGAACGGGUGAGUAACGCGUAGGUAACCUGCCUGGUAGCGGGGGAUAACUAUUGGAAACGAUAGCUAAUACCGCAUAACAGUAGAUAUCGCAUGAUAGCUGCUUGAAAGGUGCAAUUGCACCACUACCAGAUGGACCUGCGUUGUAUUAGCUAGUUGGUGGGGUAACGGCUCACCAAGGCAACGAUACAUAGCCGACCUGAGAGGGUGAUCGGCCACACUGGGACUGAGACACGGCCCAGACUCCUACGGGAGGCAGCAGUAGGGAAUCUUCGGCAAUGGACGGAAGUCUGACCGAGCAACGCCGCGUGAGUGAAGAAGGUUUUCGGAUCGUAAAGCUCUGUUGUAAGAGAAGAACGAGUGUGAGAGUGGAAAGUUCACACUGUGACGGUAUCUUACCAGAAAGGGACGGCUAACUACGUGCCAGCAGCCGCGGUAAUACGUAGGUCCCGAGCGUUGUCCGGAUUUAUUGGGCGUAAAGCGAGCGCAGGCGGUUAGAUAAGUCUGAAGUUAAAGGCUGUGGCUUAACCAUAGUACGCUUUGGAAACUGUUUAACUUGAGUGCAAGAGGGGAGAGUGGAAUUCCAUGUGUAGCGGUGAAAUGCGUAGAUAUAUGGAGGAACACCGGUGGCGAAAGCGGCUCUCUGGCUUGUAACUGACGCUGAGGCUCGAAAGCGUGGGGAGCAAACAG
rnacentral:rRNA from 1 species